rnacentral:rRNA from 1 species
AUACGGAGGGUGCAAGCGUUACUCGGAAUCACUGGGCGUAAAGCGCGCGCAGGCGGCUUGAUAAGUUGGAUGUGAAAGCCUACGGCUCAACCGUAGAACUGCAUCCAAAACUGUCAGGCUAGAGUGUGGGAGAGGAAGAUGGAAUUAGCUGUGUAGGGGUAAAAUCCGUAGAGAUAACUAGGAAUACCAAAAGCGAAGGCAAUCUUCUGGAACACUACUGACGCUGAGGCGCGAAGGCGUGGGGAGCAAACAGGAUUAGAUACCCCUGUAGUCC